GGCUCAGGAUGAACGCUAGCUACAGGCUUAACACAUGCAAGUCGAGGGGCAUCAUGUGGUUGCUUGCAACCAAUGAUGGCGACCGGCGCACGGGUGAGUAACGCGUAUCCAACCUUCCCCUUAGUAGAGGAUAGCCCGGCGAAAGUCGGAUUAAUACUCUAUGUUCUUCAAUGCGGACAUCUAAGUUGAAGCAAAGAUUUAUCGCUAAGGGAUGGGGAUGCGUCUGAUUAGGUUGCAGGCGGGGUAACGGCCCACCUGGCCUACGAUCAGUAGGGGUUCUGAGAGGAAGGUCCCCCACACUGGUACUGAGACACGGACCAGACUCCUACGGGAGGCAGCAGUGAGGAAUAUUGGUCAAUGGGCGCGAGCCUGAACCAGCCAAGUAGCGUGCAGGAACCGACUGCCCUAUGGGUUGUAAACUGCUUUUAUCAGGGAAUAAAGUGAGGCACGCGUGCCUUUUUGUAUGUACCUGAUGAAUAAGGACCGGCUAAUUCCGUGCCAGCAGCUGC
rnacentral:rRNA from 1 species